UAUUCAAAAUUUAUCCAUUUCUAUUGUUAAAAACACUAACAUGAUUGAUGGAAUAACCAUGCCACAUGCCACAUGUACCUCAUGGUUAUGUACACGGACCGGUUUUUAAUAGUAGAAAUGGAUGAAACUUUUAAUC
rnacentral:pre_miRNA from 1 species